ensembl:lncRNA
CGGACACCGGACACCCGCUGUCCUCCGGGCUCCCGCUAUAUAAGGGCUGAGCAGCCUCCCUCUGCAGACCGGGAGAGACCCACCUGCUCGGACCUCCAGCCCCACACCAUGACGCCCAGGAUGAUUCUCCUUCUGUGUUCCCUGGUCCUCCUGGUGGAAGCUGACCUCGACAACAGCGAUUCAAGUCUUCAAUCAACGUCAACAGAUAAAGACUCCACAUCCGAUGAAGCCAGAACAGCUCCAGCAGCCAAUCAGGUUUAUGGAACUGGUGAGUGUUUUUUGUAGUUUUACUAGUAACUUUCUGUUGAUGUCAUUUGUUUGUGAUGAAUGUUGUUUUUUGGUGUAUGUUUGUUUACACUUGAUAGUUGUUGAUUGUUGAGGUUUGAUGUAAUAUAUUUGUGAUUGAUUGUUGUGUAUAGUUUGUCUACUGGUUUUACUGUUUGAUGUAGUUUGUUUGUUUAGAUGCAGUUUGUUUGUUGUGAUGUAAUUAGUUUCUUUUGAUGUAGUUAGUUUGGUCGGAUGUAGUUUAUUUGUUUUGUUGUAGUUAGGUUGAUUUGAUUAAGUUUGUUUCUGUUUGAUGUAGUUUGUUUGUGUUUGUUGUAGUUUGUUUAUUUUGAUGUUGUUUAAUUUUUUACGUAGUUGUUGUUUUAAUGUACUUUGUGUGUUUUUAUGUACUUCCUUUGUCUCAAUGUAGUUUGUUGUUUGUUUUCUGUGGUUUGUUUGUUCCGAUGUAGUUUGUUCGUUUUGAUGUAGUUUGUUUUGAUGUAGUUUGUUUGUUUUGAUGUAGUUUGUUGGUCUUAUUAUAAUUUGUUUCGAUGUAGUUUGUUCUUCUGAUGUAGUUUGUUUGUAUUGACGUAGAUGCAGCUGCCAGAAGCACAGAGGACGAAGGCGGUCAGUAAUAAGCCCUGGUAUCACUAGUGUCUAUCAGGAAGUAUGACGAGAUAAUAGUGUAGUAGUAUGAUAAAAGUACCCACUCACAUUCAGCGAUAACCCUUUCUACUGCAGUACUGCGACAGCAGGUACUGCGGUACUUAUAGUAUGAGUAACCACGAUGACUUCCUAAAGGGGUGCCUACCUUCCUCCCUCGCAGAAGAGGGCCCGGACUCUGACGAGGCCGGCGGCAAACCGCGCUCGGCCAAGCAGCCCCCGGCGGUGAAGCCGCCCGCCCAGCCCCGCCCCCCACAGCCCC